rnacentral:lncRNA from 1 species
CGCCCGCCGGGUGUUCGACGAAAUGGGAGACCAAGGAACUGUCGUCGUUCUUGCAAGAAAAAUCAAGUCGGAUCAUGAUGUGGUACGUUAUUUGAUCGCACGAUGUGGAGGAAAAGUGUUGGAUUAACCUCAAAGUGAUGCUAACGAAUAAACCAGAGGAAUGGAUGAUCUGAUCAAGUGCCAGGAUGGAAGAUGCUCACCAAGUGGUCAUCAUCUAACAACACUUAGUGUUAUCCCAGGC